rnacentral:rRNA from 1 species
AACAGGAUUAGAUACCCUGGUAGUCCACGCCCUAAACGAUGUCUACUAGUUGUCGGGUCUUAAUUGACUUGGUAACGCAGCUAACGCGUGAAGUAGACCGCCUGGGGAGUACGGUCGCAAGAUUAAAACUCAAAGGAAUUGACGGGGACCCGCACAAGCGGUGGAUGAUGUGGAUUAAUUCGAUGCAACGCGAAAAACCUUACCUACCCUUGACAUGGAUGGAACCUCUGAGAGAUUGGAGGGUGCCCGAAAGGGAACCAUUACACAGGUGCUGCAUGGCUGUCGUCAGCUCGUGUCGUGAGAUGUUGGGUUAAGUCCCGCAACGAGCGCAACCCUUGUCAUUAGUUGCUACGAAAGGGCACUCUAAUGAGACUGCCGGUGACAAACCGGAGGAAGGUGGGGAUGACGUCAAGUCCUCAUGGCCCUUAUGGGUAGGGCUUCACACGUCAUACAAUGGUACAUACAGAGGGCCGCCAACCCGCGAGGGGGAGCUAAUCCCAGAAAGUGUAUCGUAGUCCGGAUUGUAGUCUGCAACUCGACUGCAUGAAGUUGGAAUCGCUAGUAAUCGCGGAUCAGCAUAUCGCGGUGAAUACGUUCCCGGGUCUUGUACACACCGCCCGUCACACCAUGGGAGCGGGUUUUACCAGAAGUAGGUAGCUUAACCGCAAGGGGGGCGCUUACCACGGUAGGAUUCGUGACUGGGGUGAAGUCGUAACAAGGUAACC